rnacentral:lncRNA from 1 species
UUUGAGAUACUUAUGUCAUUGUGAAAUCAGUUUUUCGCGUCAAUUUUCCUUCACAAUAAAUCUGCAAGACGUUUUUGGUUAGUUAUUUAGCAUUUCAAGUGAAAUCUAAAUGGCUUGAGAUUUUAGGUACCAUUUUCUUAAGACAUAAGCUCGAUAUUGAAGUAUGUUCUUAAGGCAGAAUCAUAGCUUUGUGAACAUGUAUCUAUACAAUAGCUUGGAAUCCAGGUAGGGGGAUCUGGGAACCUCUACUCAAUUGUAUUGUAUGCAUAUAUGUUGCUUGACAUGUUUGUUGUGGAAUGAAUG